rnacentral:misc_RNA from 1 species
AAGAUUAUUAAAAUAUUGUUAUUAUUGUUUCAAGUAUAUAAAUGAUUAUCAUAUAAAAUAUGAAUGUAAAAAUUUGAAACCAUUUCAAACCACCAAUUUGGUGGUUUAAAAACCUGUGGUAAAAUGAUAGUUACAUAACCAUCAUUUUAUAAUCUGGAACCACUAUUAUUCAGGAACAAUCUGAACAAAUAACGAGUAUAACUAUACCAUAUAGUAUAAAAUCAUGAUAAACCAUCAUCCAAACAAGGGUUUAUUGGUAGUAAUUCGAUUUUGAGUGGUGCUACUUACCCUCUUUCACAAUCCAAACACUAUAAAAUGAUGUUGCAAUUGGUAUUGUGAUUU